AAAAAGGGGGGCCUGGCAAAAAAAGUUUGGGAACCACUGGACUAAACCAUUAUUCCACUCUCAGGUAAAUUCUUAGACUCCAACCUUCCACCACAGUAUACAAUAUACCAAUUUGAAUAAAUAAAUACAUUUCCCAUUUUUAUAUUAAUAAAUAUUUAACACUUUAAUUUUACACCAAACCCAAUAUUAUAAAAAAACAAAAACAAACAAACAAAAAAAAAAACCCAAGCACAAAAAGAUUCCCCACACUCCCUUAACCAAUGGUCUCUCCCGGAACCUUUAACUGGUGUCUGGACCCCCUGGGAAACAUUUGCCCAAACACCUUGAAGAGCACACGGUCACAAAAGACAACCACCACAUUCCUUGAUGAGGAGCAGCUGUGCAGGAUCUGAAACAAGGCUACCAACUGAUUUUAAUAUUCCCAAUAAAUAUUCAAUAAAUAAUUAAACUUC